UACGAAGGGGGCUAGCGUUGCUCGGAAUCACUGGGCGUAAAGCGCACGUAGGCGGGUCUUUAAGUCAGGGGUGAAAUCCCGGAGCUCAACUCCGGAACUGCCUUUGAUACUGGAGAUCUUGAGUCCGGGAGAGGUGAGUGGAACUGCGAGUGUAGAGGUGAAAUUCGUAGAUAUUCGCAAGAAACACCAGUGGCGAAGGCGGCUCACUGGCCCGGUACUGACGCUGAGGUGCGAAAGCGUGGGGAGCAAA
rnacentral:rRNA from 1 species